GGGUAAGUCUCGUACGACCAGCUCCUGCCAAAUCCUCCAGGGUCGGAAGGCAGCAAAGGUAGGCAGUUGUAGCGGUGCGAUACGAGUAGCUUACCCUUU
rnacentral:SRP_RNA from 1 species